rnacentral:rRNA from 1 species
AACUUUCAACAACGGAUCUCUUGGCUCUCGCAUCGAUGAAGAACGCAGCGAAAUGCGAUAAGUAAUGUGAAUUGCAGAAUUCAGUGAAUCAUCGAAUCUUUGAACGCACCUUGCGCCCUUUGGUAUUCCGAGGGGCAUGCCUGUUUGAGUGUCU